rnacentral:rRNA from 1 species
GACGAACGCUGGCGGCGUGCUUAACACAUGCAAGUCGAACGGUAAGGCCCUUCGGGGUACACGAGUGGCGAACGGGUGAGUAACACGUGGGUGAUCUGCCCUGCACUUCGGGAUAAGCCUGGGAAACUGGGUCUAAUACCGGAUAGGACUCCGGACUGCAUGGUCUGGGGUGGAAAGCUUUUGCGGUGUGGGAUGGGCCCGCGGCCUAUCAGCUUGUUGGUGGGGUGAUGGCCUACCAAGGCGACGACGGGUAGCCUGCCUGGGAGGGUGACCGGCCACGCUGGGACUGAGAUACGGCCCAGACUCCUACGGGAGGCAGAAGUGGGGAAUAUUGCACAAUGGGCGCAAGCCUGAUGCAGCGACGCCGCGUGAGGGAUGACGGCCUUCGGGUUGUAAACCUCUUUCAGCAUCAACGGAGCGAAAGUGACGGUAGGUGCAGAAGAAGGACCGGCCAACUACGUGCCAGCCGCCGCAGUAA